rnacentral:misc_RNA from 1 species
GGACCACCAGGACGCAAAGUGAGAGCCUGUAAAAGUGCUGGUGGUCCACCGGCUCUUCGGCUCACAGGAAUUCGUGGCCACUCUCAGCCUGAGGACACUACCGAUGCCUUACAAGAAGUUGGUCGGGAGCUCGCCCAACUUGCAGAGUCAACAGGUGUAGAAUUUGAGUUUCGUGGAUUCGUGGUCCAUACUUUAGCUGAUCUUGAAGCACCAAUGUUGAAU